GGGGUUGUAGCCCAGUGGUAGAGCGCAUGCUUGGCAUGCACGAGGGUCUGGGUUCAAUCCCCGGUACCUCCA
rnacentral:tRNA from 1 species